UGCUGCAUGUCCGGGUGGCUGAGGAAGUGGGUUUGAAACCCAUUGGUCGAUUGCGACUUGCAGGUUCAAAUCCUGUGUGCAGCGU
rnacentral:tRNA from 1 species